rnacentral:rRNA from 1 species
CCUACGGGAGGCAGCAGUGGGGAAUCUUGCACAAUGGAGGAAACUCUGAUGCAGCGAUGCCGCGUGAGUGAAGAAGGCCUUUGGGUUGUAAAGCUCUUUUGUAGGGGAAGAUAAUGACUGUACCCUAAGAAUAAGGUCCGGCUAACUUCGUGCCAGCAGCCGCGGUAAUACGAAGGGACCUAGCGUAGUUCGGAAUUACUGGGCGUAAAGCGCGCGUAGGCCGUUGAGUUAGUUAAUUGUGAAAUCCCAAAGCUUAACUUUGGAACUACAAUUAAAACUGCUCGACUAGAGUUUGAUAGAGGAAAGCGGAAUACAUAGUGUAGAGGUGAAAUUCGUAGAUAUUAUGUAGAACACCAGUUGCGAAGGCGGCUUUCUGGAUCAACACUGACGCUGAGGCGCGAAAGUAUGGGUAGCAAAGAGGAUUAGAUACCCUCGUAGUCCAUACCAUAAACGAUGAUUGCUAGAUGUUGGAAAUUUAUUUUCAGUAUCGCAGCUAACGCAUUAAGCAAUCCGCCUGGGGAGUACGACCGCAAGGUUAAAACUCAAAGAUAGUAGCGUGNGAGNGCGACGACGACGACGAGGAGGAG